rnacentral:lncRNA from 1 species
GGAACCAGAGAGGGAGAGAAAGUUAGAGAGAAAAGAUCUUUAUUCACUCAAUCACAUCCUGUCUAUAAAAUCCUAAUACAACCUAUAUAUAUUUAUACACAGCCAUUAGGUCCGACCAAAAAACUUUCCUUGGCUUAACCCAAUACAUGAAAGUACUCAUCGAAAAGUAUAUCUCAUCUAUGUCUCACAUGCUCUCACCUCUUGGAUUUAAUCUCAGCCCGAGCCUUUGAGUUAACCCUCUUAAGAUCUCAUAAACAAAGCCUCAUGACCCCUAGGAUCAAAUUUAAUCCUAGCCGAAAUUAGAACCCAUGCACCAUUCUGUUCCCAGCUCAAGCCGGCUUGACUGUCAUGCCACUGUGCC